AAACACUGGGAUGCUGGAGCUCAGGCAUCCCAGACAGGAGGAGUGUGUACUCACACCAGCCAGGAGGAAACAAGCCUGCCUGAGAGGACAGAGGAUCAGCCCUGGNNNNNNNNNNCCUGCCUGAGAGGACAGAGGAUCAGCCCUGGCUGUCCCUCGGGAGCGGGGUGCCUCCAAGGCACACUGCCCACUGGGUCAAGGAGUAUCCAUUGAGGAGUUAGAAGG
rfam:Pongo abelii chromosome 22, whole genome shotgun sequence.